UCCCCACACCCAGCUGCAGCCGAAAUCCCUUUCCCCCCAAAGGAGCAGCGCACACGGUUUCUUUUUUUCUUUUCCAUGAAAGGAAUGAAACAGAAGCAGGAAAGGGAGAGAAGGGAGGAAGCAGCUCGCCGGCCAGCCGUGCCUUGCCAUUGUCGUCCCCACCUCGCCGCCGAACCUGCCACGCCUCGCCAUCAGUCACCGCCAUCACCCACAUUUUUUCCCUCAUAACCUCACCCUCAGAUUUCAUCAACCCACAUACACCGAACAAACACACACCCAUGGUGAAGAAGAGAUCGGGCAGAGAGAGGGAGAGCGCACGCGAAGAGCGCGACCCGUUGUGCCGUCGUGUGCCAUCGCCAUCGUCGAGCUACCAGGGCAACCACGGGCGAGUUUUAAAGGAGAGAGAAGCUCGAGGAGAGAGGGAGAUCGGCGGAGGGAAGGUUCUAUUCGAGCAGCCGUGCCUCCCUACCUCAGAUCCGUCAUCGUCUCCACUGCCUUUUUCCGCCACCGCCAGGCCGUGAACGCCGUUUCGGUGGUUGCGGUCGCCACUGCCUGGGUCCCUGUGGUCCAAGCCACCAUUAAUGGAGCUUUGUUUUCGCUUCUCUGGUUUGCCGAUGGAGGAGCUCAUGGGUGGAAGAAGGCCGAUUGAGGGAGAGAACGCCGUUGAGUGGGGGUAAAUGCCUCUGCCGUGCUUCUCAGUCACUGGUGGUGGAGCCGCGUCGUCGUCACCCCUGGGCCGCCAUUCUUACCGUCGCUGAUGAAACUCACCGAAAGCUGCUCGGAUGUUACCGCCACUCUAUUUGAUCCUACUGGAAGCUGUGCCGUCGCGGCUGUGGUUGUUGAAAAUUACCGUUGGAAACCCUGUCUUCUUGGGUUGAGUUCCGGUAUUUGCGCGUCGAAAUUUAGGGUUGUUGUUGAGCCACCGGAGCUUCUGGCCGGUACCAGAGCUGUUACUGGGUUGGUUCGGAAUUGCAGCUGCCUCAUUGUGUUAUUUUAAUAAGUAAUUAUAUUUCGAAAAGUUUUGUAUUAGUAUUCUGUUGUGUUUAGUUAAUGAAUCUGAGCUUUGGUAAUGUGGGUUUGAGUUCUGAUUAUUACGUGUUGCGAGUAGAGUUGUUGUGGUUGCUGAGAAAAUGGUUUGGAGCUGAGGUUGCGGCUGCCAUAGUUUCGGGCUAAGAGGAAACAACUUGUGAUGAGUUUUAGAGUUUUCGGGUUUCGACAUUUGAGAGACACGAGUUUUCCUGGAAGAAAGCAGUGGCCAGCCACCACGUGCUCCAUGUGGAGACUCGAGACUCUGCUGACCCUAUGUCGUAAGUGUAGGGCACUGUGAAAGUCCCAGAUGAGCUCGCCCCGUGAAUAUACACCAGAGAGGGUGUUGGAUAUGUAUUAUGAUUACGAUCACGAUGAUGAUCGAGAAUAACUCAAGUUGGGGAUGCGCGACAGAGGGACAGUCCAAUGGUUAGCUACCAGGACUUGUCGGGCUGGCUUUAUAACCAACAGAUGAUAUCAUCAGCCACUAGGACAGGCAUGCAUCAUAUGCAUCUAUGUGACAUUAUUUGGGUGUGCAUAUUAUACUUAGUUUGCCUUUGUGACUACUUGCGAUUAACUGCUAAUUGUUCUACUUGCAAUAACUGUUUGUUUAUGCUUGAAUCUUCCUAUUUGUGUUUGCGACUGAGACUCUGUUGGUUUGUGGUGAUUGGUUGUUGGUUGGAGUGUUUGGGCCCAGGGCCGUGGUUGAAAUGAGAUGGACCGAUGGUUGGUUUCGGUUUUGUGUUUCUGGUUUGGAAAAAUAUGAAAGGCUAUUUUGAUUCAGCAUAGAUAAACCUUUUUGAAAGGCUUUUGAGUUUCUGAGAAUUGAAUGGUUCCUCUUUCAGAAAAGAUUUCCGACUUUACUUUUAUUGUAAAUUGUUGUUUUUGAAAAGAGACAUAAGACGGUUAUUAAUCACUGGUACAGUUUAUGUUCACGUAUCCUAUUACAAUAAUUCCCAAAAACCCUCUACUGAGAUCCCUUUCGAGGAUGAUGUUCUCACCCCCUUACAUUUUCCCUUUUCAGGAUAUGGACGCAGAAGUCACGAAGAGUUUAUUUUAGUUGUUGUUGAAAUGCUCUGUAUUGCUUUAGAUUAUUAUUUAUUGUACCCUCUCCUUUAUCUUGAUAUAUUAUGUAAGAGGGAUAGGAAUUGUAUUGGAUAAUGCUUGUAAUAUUAUUUAUAUAUAUACAUAUAUAUGUAUGUACUCUUUGAGAGUUUUUGUAAGUUUUAUUGUAUGUAUGGAUGCACGUUGCUUAGCAAAAGUAUUUUUGGAUCGAUAUUUCGGUUUAAAGUUUUAAACAGGCUCAUAUUUUAGUAUUAAAUAGUAUAAGAGUCGUCGUAAUGUCUGAGCUAUCAGAGUUGCGCAGCCGAAAGCGUGAGCUUUGAUAUUUAGGGUGUUACAUUGUACAUGUUAGUGAUACUAGUGCCUUGACUCUGAAAAAAGAAUUGGUGUCUGUGCUUUCUAUUUAUAAUCUCCAAAUUGAAAACAUUUGAGGUCAGGGGUAUGAUGGUGCUAGUAAUAAUAUGAAAGUGGAAUGGAAUGGUUUUACAAGCUUUAUUUCUCAAUAAUUGCUGACAAGCAUAUUAUGUCCAUUCUUUUGCUCAUAGAUUGCAAUUAGCACUGGUGGCUGCUUCAAGGGAAGUACUUCAAAUUCAUGAGUUUUUUUCACACAAUCGAUUGCUAUUGUUAAUAUUGUUGGUGCAUCUUGCAAAUGACAUGAUCAACUACAAGAAGCUCAAGAAAUUGAAAAUGCAAAAUUGAUUGCCAAUGAUGAGUUAGAAACAGGUCAAAGUACAAAUCAAAUGGGCACUUUACAAAGAGUUGAAG